rnacentral:tRNA from 1 species
AUGGGCUUAAUGUAAUGGCAGCAUGUCGUGUCUCCAAAACCGAUAGUCUUCGUUCGAGUCGAAGAGCCCGUG